rnacentral:rRNA from 1 species
GUUUGAUCAUGGCUCAGAUUGAACGCUGGCGGCAGGCCUAACACAUGCAAGUCGAGCGGUAACAGGGGUAGCUUGCUACCCGCUGACGAGCGGCGGACGGGUGAGUAAUGCAUAGGAAUCUGCCCGAUAGUGGGGGAUAACCUGGGGAAACCCAGGCUAAUACCGCAUACGUCUACGGGAGAAAGGGGGCUCCGGCUCCCGCUAUUGGAUGAGCCUAUGUCGGAUUAGCUAGUUGGUGAGGUAAUGGCUCACCAAGGCAACGAUCCGUAGCUGGUCUGAGAGGAUGAUCAGCCACAUCGGGACUGAGACACGGCCCGAACUCUACGGGAGGCAGCAGUGGGGAAUAUUGGACAAUGGGCGAAAGCCUGAUCCAGCCAUGCCGCGUGUGUGAAGAAGGCCCUCGGGUUGUAAAGCACUUUCAGCGAGGAAGAACGCCUAGUGGUUAAUACCCAUUAGGAAAGACAUCACUCGCAGAAGAAGCACCGGCUAACUCCGUGCCAGCAGCCGCGGUAAUACGGAGGGUGCAAGCGUUAAUCGGAAUUACUGGGCGUAAAGCGCGCGUAGGUGGCUUGAUAAGCCGGUUGUGAAAGCCCCGGGCUCAACCUGGGAACGGCAUCCGGAACUGUCAAGCUAGAGUGCAGGAGAGGAAGGUAGAAUUCCCGGUGUAGCGGUGAAAUGCGUAGAGAUCGGGAGGAAUACCAGUGGCGAAGGCGGCCUUCUGGACUGACACUGACACUGAGGU